UACAAGUACCCAAGAUAACCUUUCAGUCUGCC
rnacentral:piRNA from 1 species